ensembl:misc_RNA Metazoa_SRP Metazoan signal recognition particle RNA
GCUGGGCAUGGUGGUACGUGCUUGUAGUCUCAGCUACUCGAGAGACUGAGGUGGGAGGAUUGCUUGAGCCCAGGAGUUCUAGACUAUAGUGUGCUAUGCCAAUUUGGUGUCUGCACUAAGUUCAGCAUCAAUAUGGUGACCUCCAGGGAGGGGGGACCACGAGGUUGCCUAAGGAGGGGUGAACUGGCCCAGGUCGGAAAUGGAGCUGGUCGAAAUUCCCAGGCUGAUCAGUAGUGGGAUCACACCUGUGAAUAGCCACUGCACUCCAGCCUGGGCAACAUAGCGAGACCCCAUCUCUU